UACGUAGGUGGCGAGCGUUGUCCGGAAUUACUGGGCGUAAAGGGCGCGUAGGCGGCAGCCUAAGUCAGAUGUGAAAACCCGGGGCUUAACUCCGGGACUGCAUUUGAAACUGGGCAGCUUGAGUGCAGGAGAGGAAAGCGGAAUUCCUAGUGUAGCGGUGAAAUGCGUAGAUAUUAGGAGGAACACCAGUGGCGAAGGCGGCUUUCUGGACUGUAACUGACGCUGAGGCGCGAAAGCGUGGGGAGCAAACAGG
rnacentral:rRNA from 1 species